GGGCCCGCACAAGCGGUGGAGUAUGUGGUUUAAUUCGAUGCAACGCGAAGAACCUUACCAGGGUUUGACAUCCUGCGAAUUUCUGGGAAACCGGAAAGUGCCUUCGGGAGCGCAGUGACAGGUGGUGCAUGGCUGUCGUCAGCUCGUGUCGUGAGAUGUUGGGUUAAGUCCCGCAACGAGCGCAACCCACGUCUUUAGUUGCCAGCAUUUAGUUGGGCACUCUAGAGAGACCGCCGGUGAUAAACCGGAGGAAGGUGUGGAUGACGUCAAGUCAUCAUGCCCCUUACAUCCUGGGCUACACACGUGCUACAAUGGUAGUGACAAUGGGUUAAUCCCAAAAAGCUAUCUCAGU
rnacentral:rRNA from 1 species